GUGGUUUGCUUCCAUGUUUAGCUUUGUAAUCUCAGUACUGAUGAUGGGACAAUGACAUGUAGAGACAUCCCGUACAAGUGCAACUGUUACACCGCUUUCAGGUUUGUCCACACCAUCUUUUCACCUUCUAUCUUCUUUCCCACAUCCCAUUUUCUUUUUCCCCCUUCAAAGGGUACCCACACUUCACUCUGACUGAUUUGUUAGGCAUGUACAGUCUUCCUUGCCAUGUUAACGAUAAACGGUAACCCUUUUGCAGUUUGG
rnacentral:lncRNA from 1 species